AUUCAGUGCAUGUUCUCUUCUGCUAGUAAAAGUCUAAAAGCCAAUUUUGUGUGCAUAUGGGAGAUCCAAAGAUGAAAACAAACGUAGUCGUAGAAUUAUAGAUUAUUUCAGCCAAAAGGUCCAAAUAAAUUACCUAACCUCAACUUUUCUUUUUACAGUGAGGAAUCUGAGGCCCAGAGAGAUUAAGAAGCUUCACAAGUGACAUGACUUGUGCCAAAUCACAAGGUCAUUUAGUUGCAGAACUGGGACAGGAAUUCAUGCCCAGUUCUCUUUUCAAAACCCUGUGGAAAAAAGAAGCACAUUGAAUUUAGCCUUUGAUUCGUCAUCAGCAUUAUCAGAGAUGAGGUGCAUUUUUUUUAAGAGAAAUGUUGGAAACAACCUACUGAAGAAAGGCUAAGACUCCUACAUCAGAUUACCAAUGCACUUUGUCAUAAAUAUUUCAGAAUGCCUAUGAGAAAAAGAAUAAAGCUAAAUCAAGUCCAGAAUACAGAGACAAAUCACUGCUGCAUUGACAGAGUUCUCAACAUUCAUCAAAUUAUACAAUAGUCAGAGGAGUUUCCUGUGGAUAUAAGGUCCAUUUGAAUCCUUAAGAAAAAGAGUGGAUAUUGAAGAAAUAUGUUCUUUAUUCUGAGCAGAAAGGCCAGCAAAAAAGAUAAUGGAUUUGCCAAAAUAUAUCAGGACAAUACUAUUAGCCAUAGGUAAUUGGAUGAUAAAAAUUGCUGUUACCUUUAUGUGCUUUUGAAACUCUACAUGAUUUUCUUUGCAAAAAGGUCAUUAAUAAAAAAUUGCAUAAUUUAAUGGGUUUCAUCUCAUUUUUGUAGUUCAAAUCAAUCACCUCAAUGGCAAUCAGAUAUUAAGCACAUUGUAUUAUUUAUCUAUAGCCUUUGAGAAGAGAAAAAAAAUUUAGUUCACUUUUAAUUAAAUAUCUGUUGAUCCCCAAAUUUAAUACUAUUUCUGAUAAACUCAUGUAAAAGAAAUAAAGUGAAUAUAGAUAGCUUUAAAUGGAAUUCAUUUUUAAAAACUUGUCAGAGGACCCUGUUAACAUCUUUCCAUGUCCUAACAUGGCUAUAACUUAAAAAUAGGCCUGAGAAUAGAUCAUUAUAGGCCAUAAUCUACUAAUUAACUAAAAUUUUUUGAUUUCCCAUAUAGGCAUCUCCAAAUGUUUUCUAGAUCUUGAGUUUUAUUCUAAUAUUACCUACUCUAUCAUAAGCACACUCUAGUGUAGCUUUAACUUAACACAGAGAUAAUUUUCCAAAAAGAGUUGUGCAAUACAAGAAUACUAUCAUUCUACUUGCUUCACACUGCAAUACAUAAAUAUUAAGUCUGAAUGUCAAGACUAUCAUUCAAUCAAUGCUUUUCUACCCAUUUACUGACACCAGCAAACAUAUAUCACCAGUACCCUUGGCUACCACAUCAUUAUGUCUGUACACUGCUCAGAUCACAAUGUGAUUUAUCCAGAAAUAGUCCAUUACUUUUCCUACCAAUGGCAGAGACCGUCACUCUGUCCUACUAAGACCAUUUAAUGAAAUUGUUCUGUAAGGACCUUAUAUUAGAGCAGUUCAGGCAGAAUGUUCAUUUUCCUGUCUCUUGAGGAGUAAAAAGCAAUAGCCAUAAAUUUAUUCUCCCUGGUUUAACCUCUUUUAAUAGACAAUGACGACAAUACAAUUGUCCAUAAAAUAUUACCACAAAUUUUUAAAAUAUUUUCCCAAACCGCUUUUUUCUACAAUUCUAUUUUGCUCCUAGAAAAUCGGGGUGGGGGGAGAAUUAUUCAUUAAUGAGAGCCAACGUGUCUUGGUAGAAGGUUGAUCGCCAUUACUGUCCGACUGUAAAGUAUAAGCCUAGGAAUAUAUAUAAAAACCACAGCAAAGGGUUACAGUUAUCAUCUCAUCAAUUUUCUUAUCCUUUUAUAGUUUUUUCAAGUAAAAGUGCACUUAAUUCCAAACUUUAAAAAUGUAUAAGCAAAUGCCCUCAUCAGUAAAGAACUUAAAAGUUAAUUCUUCCAUUUAAGCAUGGACUCAUUUCAGGCAAUUUUUUUUGGUAAGAUUGUUCCUAAAUUUUGAGUGAUAAUAGGAAAAUGUUCUGACAAAAGAAAAUGUUAAAUUAUAUUUAGUGUAAAUAUAAGUAAUACAAACAAGGUAGCCUAUUGAAAAUUAUGACAUAUCCUAUUUUAAUGUGACCAAUUCCUUUUACCACAGAAAAAUGGAUCAUAAGUAAUUGAAUCUGAAUGUUAAUUUCAGAAACAGUUUAUAAUGCCUUCAGUUCUGUUAAGAGUUGACAGGUGAGAUCCUGCUACCUGCCUAGAAAAUUAGAUGCUGUGAGUUACAAAAGAAGAGUAAGACACAGAAAAAAAGACAUUGUCUUUUUUCUUCUUUUUGUGUUUUUUCUCCAAAUUA
rnacentral:lncRNA from 1 species